UACGUAGGGGUGCGAGCGUUAAUCGGAAUUACUGGGCGUAAAGCGUGCGCAGGCGGCGCGUUAAGACAGGUGUGAAAGCCCCGAGCUUAACUUGGGAAUUGCGCUUGUGACUGGCGUGCUGGAGUGUGGCAGAGGGAGGUGGAAUUCCACGUGUAGCAGUGAAAUGCGUAGAGAUGUGGAGGAACACCGAUGGCGAAGGCAGCCUCCUGGGCCAGCACUGACGCUCAUGCACGAAAGCGUGGGGAGCAAACAGG
rnacentral:rRNA from 1 species